GCAGCGCCGCAAUCUCCACCGAUCGACGGCACCAUUCGGGCAGCUCUCGCUCGUAGUUGGAAUUGCGCUUGAGGGCCGCCAGUAGAUCCUCAGCUCAGCUAGCUCACCCAAUGCAGUGCUCGUAACGCGUCUGCGUCGACGCCGGAUUGAAGGCCAAUGAGAGCAGGCCCGUUUGCUUCACUCUUUUGAGUCGCUGGAAUAUUGGAUGAUUGACGAUCUCCUCAAUGUGACUGGGGAUCUCAAUGACUCCAUGAACUUCAUCCUCAAUGAGCAUCUAGGGAGAGGAGGGAAAAACCGGGGACUCUCUGUAUGUGUCGCCUCGGCAAUCAAAUGAGAACUGACAAAUCUGAAUGCUAGAAACGAAACACUGGUUAGGCAAGUUCUGGCACAGAGGCUCAAGUGGUCUGCGAAGGCAUGAAAUGGAAUGCGAUGAAGGGCGGACUUUUGUUCAUAUGAAAUUUUUUAUUUAUAUUUGAGUUGAACUCAAAAUUAUGCCGAGGCGAGCAAUAGAAAAAAAUAUUUCCACACAUUC